rnacentral:rRNA from 1 species
CACCCUUCGGGGUGAGUGGCAGACGGGUGAGUAACGCGUGGGAACGUACCCUUUGGUUCGGAAUAGCCCUUGGAAACGAGGAGUAAUACCGAAUGAGCCCUACGGGGGAAAGAUUUAUCGCCGAAGGAUCGGCCCGCGUUAGAUUAGCUAGUUGGUGAGGUAAUGGCUCACCAAGGCGACGAUCUAUAGCUGGUUUGAGAGGAUGAUCAGCCACACUGGGACUGAGACACGGCCCAGACUCCUACGGGAGGCAGCAGUGGGGAAUCUUGGACAAUGGGGGCAACCCUGAUCCAGCCAUGCCGCGUGAAUGAUGAAGGCCUUAGGGUUGUAAAAUUCUUUCAGUGGGGAAGAUAAUGACGGUACCCACAGAAGAAGCCCCGGCUAACUCCGUGCCAGCAGCCGCGGUAAUACGGAGGGGGCUAGCGUUGUUCGGAAUUACUGGGCGUAAAGCGCGCGUAGGCGGACUAGCCAGUCAGAGGUGAAAGCCCAGGGCUCAACCCUGGAACUGCCUUUGAUACUGUUAGUCUGGAGUCCGGGAGAGGUGUGUGGAAUUCCGAGUGUAGAGGUGAAAUUCGUAGAUAUUCGGAGGAACACCAGAGGCGAAGGCGGCACACUGGACCGGUACUGACGCUGAGGCGCGAAAGCGUGCGGAGCAGAACAGGAUUAGAUACCCUGGUAGUCCACGCCGUAAACGAUGGAUGCUAGUUGUCUGGCAGCAUGCUGUC